CUUCUCCCUGCCCAACCCCAUCCCCCUGCACCAAAUGGCAGGGGAGGCACCUGAAAAUAACCACCAUGACACAGAGCUGAGAAAAGCCGGCAUAAAGCACUUUUAUUGCAAUAAUAAAACUUGAGACUCAUAAAUGGUGCUGGGGGAAGGGUGCAGCAACGAUUUCUCACCAAAUCACUACACAGGACAGCAAAGGGGUGAGAAGGGGCUGAGGGAGGAAAAGCCAGGAAACUGAGAUCAGCAGAGGGAGCCAAGCAUCAAAAAACAGGAGAUGCUGAAGCUGCGAUGACCAGCAUCAUUUUCUUAAGAGAACAUUCAAGGAUUUGUCAUGAUGGCUGGGCUUUCAUUGGGUGUUAAGUCUACAAACAGCACCUUCAAUUGAAACUGUCAAUUAAAGUUCUUAAGAUUUAGGAAGUGGUGGAGCUUGGAAAGUUAUGAGAUUACAAAAUUCCUGAAAGUCCAUUAGAAAAACCACAGGAUGAAAAAAAAAAAAAGGCCACAAAGAAGGCUUCAGAGGUCCCUGCUGGCCCAGGGACAGAUACCUGUAGUGUCCAGCAUUGCAGUGAACAUGAUCUACUUUCAAAGGCAGAGGGUUUAAGGGGAGGGUGGGUGGGAAUGGUGGAGGCAAAGGCUCUCCCCAUCCCCACCUCAGUUUUAGGUAGGGCUUUUAAUUUAACCCAAAGACAUCUCUCAACUUGGAGAAUAAUUCAGUCCUCAACAGCGCCUCAAAUCUGCUAUGGCUUUGCAGCGCAGCAGCAAGAAUGUUUAAUAUAUAAUAGAUAAAAAUUUCAUCCAAAAAAUUAAAAUAAAAUAUUCUUGCAACCCCCCCCCAACACCAAUUCCUAUUCUAACGUUAACCUACCACUUGUGCUGUUAAUACUUGACCAUGUACUUAAUUGGAAACCUAUAUCCAAAAGACUGAAACUGAAUCUUCACCCCAAAAUGAAAACAAAAUAAAAUGAAUAACUUGAGGUUUAUGGCAUAUAGUUUAGGUAAACACACAUACGAGGAGAAACGGGAAGAGGAAACAGAGGUGUCGGAAGCAAAGCUGAGUGACAGAACACAUUCAGUCAGGGCAGACGUCUAUACAAAGUGGAGUGGAACAUCAGGAAAAGCUCCAUAUGGAUUCAUGUGCACACGUCUGGAGGCACCAGAUCCCUCCAUGGCAGAUCUGUUGGGGACAGAAAAUCUGAAAACUUCAAAAAAGACAGUAUGAUUUUCUGGGCUACAAAAUAGCAUUUACUGAAUACCAUUUGUGCAAAUAUUGAUAUGCCUACAACAGAAAACAUCUUUGGAAGGACAUACCAGACAUUUGCUGUGAGGAGAACAGUAUGGAUAGUGAGUGACCAGUAAGGAGAGAUUUCUACUUUAAAAAAUAUAUUUGUGUAUAUUUUCAGUUUCAAAUUAAAUACACAAAUAAGUAUAAAAUAUCUACUUUCUGAACAGUGAGCAGGUUCUCUGCAGUAUUUCCAUCCUUUGACUUAUCUCUGCUUUUGGUCUCCAUGUGUAUGUUCCCGGCUUUCCGACUCCACCAGAUAGAGGAUGAAUAAAGAGGAAGCUCCAGGCUGUGAAGUGUCUAAUCCUUGCUCCCCUCAGAAGUUGGGACAUGUUGGACCAAGGUGGUAAGGAUAGUGAGAGGCCAAAGAUUUAACAAUACACUGUGAUGCUGGGGCUGGGAGGAGAUUGCACCUUUAUAGCCUGGUGGUGGCAGUCCAGAGUGCAACCCCUAGAGAUGGCAACUUGACAAGACCUCUCAAAAAACACUACACACAGCUUUUGCGCCCCUCAUCCCACUUCUGAGAGUAAGUCCUAUGGCAACAUGUGCACACAUGGAAAAUAAAGUCUGUACAAGUUUCCCAGAAGCUGGACAAGCCACGACGGCGCCUUCCAAUAAAAGGGGAACUCCAGAGACGCUAUGAGAAAAGAGGAACAGACAUCUGCAAUAGAUAUCUGCAACUUCCUUUUCAAAAACACCAUCGGCAUUGCUUUCUCAGGAAGCCACUGCCAGCCUAUUGUGAUAGCUGACACUGAGUUCCUGAAAAUUCUCUAAUUAGGAUCCCAGACUGGAGGGUCAGCCAGUGGUUAACAUAUAAUGGACACAAAACUGAUUUUACUGGAAGACUGAGGGUGGGCACUCACUAUGGUUCUAAGCAUUACUCAGAAGAUCCAUAAAAACAUUACAGUUCUGUUGUGUAAGAGUUUAGGAAAAAAAGAAAAUCCUGACAAAAAUCCCAACCUAAAAAACAGUGUCAACAUUUGUAAGUAGGAUGGGGAGGCAGAGAUGAAUUGGCGGCGUUAUCACAGCUACUGGACUAUGUGGACUUUAACAAAGUAAGAAACGGGUGGGGGUUGGGUGGUGGUAUCCUAAUAGAGCAGGAGUAGAGAUGGAUGUGCUGGGGCAGAAUGGGUACCAAUGCUGCCUGAAGCCUGGAGCUGGGAGCUGAGGACUAAGAGGUAGACAGGAGGGUGGGGACCCGUACCUGCUCCAAGGAACUGGUGCCCCAGAACUGGUGAACUGGGGUAUGCAUUUAGCUCAUUCGUUUACCAGAAUGCAGUCACCACCUGAUGAAAGAAAUGACUAAUGGCAGGACUUGAACAGUUCUCUAUAAAUGAGUACCUGGGAGAAAAACAGGUCUCCAGGCUCCACAAUACCCAACAAACACACUGCCUUUAGCCCAUUUCAAGCUGCACUUCUUACACGGAACCCAACCCAACCAACCUCAGAGGUAAGGGUGAGAGCAGGCAAUGAACAGCUAUGAUUCUCCAUUCCCUGGCCAGGCAGGGAGCCUUUCCAUCCACCCUCGUGAGACUGCUUGUAACAGAAAUAAGGAAACCAACUCCAAGGCUCAGUAACCCACCCAAGGUCAGAACCACUGAGUGGCAGGGCCUGUGAGCCACAAAGGAGACUGAAAACCAGAAAGAGCUUCUCUCUGGUCUGUUAUUUUAAGAAAAACAUGCCCAGAGGGGCCACCUGGAAGCAAGGCUGUGGCACCCUCACCUUCCUAAUUAAACAACAACUUCCCAGGAGCAACAACAGCAACAAAAGCCUGGCCCAGCAGAUGAACUGGAAUCCAAGCCUUUCCCCUAUACGGGUCAGUUUCGGCACUAACACCUACUUAGUUUGGGUACUACUUUACCUGCUGUGAAGUCUACUGGGAUCUUCCAGGAAAGUCCUACCUCAUUAGUAAAAAGAAAAACAAAGACUCAGGAAGAAAGUUCCUGCCCUCCCUGUUGAAUGCUGUGUGAGGAUAAGAUGUCUGGAGCAUGGCAGUCACCCUGUGACUAUCAGAAGGCCAGGCGUACCACAAGGUGGUCAUUCCAGUGCUCUGAAUCAGCCCCAAACCACUUCCCUCAAGACUCAUGUUCUGAGGUGAUUAAAAGUGUGCUUUGAAGGUAAAUCUAGGAUGACAGUCAACAGAUCAGUGAUUGCCAGGAGUCAGGGGUAGAGGGAGGGAAGAACAGAUGGAGCACAGAGAAUUUUUAGGGCAGUGAAAAUGUUCUGUAUGAUACUAUAUAUAAUGGAUACAUGCCAUUAUACACUUGUCCAAACGCACAGAAUGUACACCACCAAGAGUGAACCCUAAUGUAAACUAUGGACUUUGGGUGAUCAUGAUGUGUCAAUGCAGGUUCGUCAAUUGCAACACACGUACCAUUCUAGUGGAGGGUGUUGAUAACAGGAGGCUAUGCAUGUGUGGGACCAGGGGAUAUAGGGGAAAUCUCUGUACAUGCCUCUCAAUUUUGCUGAGAAUCUGAA
rnacentral:lncRNA from 1 species